UACGUAGGUGGCGCGCGUUGUCCGGAUUUACUGGGCGUAAAGAGCGCGCAGGCGGUCGUACAAGUCGCGUGUGAAAGCCCCCGGCUCAACUGGGGAGGGUCACGCGAUACUGUUCGACUCGAAGGCAGGAGAGGGAAGUGGAAUUCCCGGUGUAGUGGUGAAAUGCGUAGAUAUCGGGAGGAACACCAGUGGCGAAGGCGACUUCCUGGCCUGUUCUUGACGCUGAGGCGCGAAAGCUAGGGGAGCAAACGGG
rnacentral:rRNA from 1 species